UACGUAGGGUGCGAGCGUUGUCCGGAAUUAUUGGGCGUAAAGGGCUCGUAGGCGGUGUGUCGCGUCGGCCGUGAAAACCUGCAGCUUAACUGUGGGCUUGCGGUCGAUACGGGCAUCACUGGAGUUCGGCAGGGGAGACUGGAAUUCCUGGUGUAGCGGUGAAAUGCGUAGAUAUCAGGAGGAACACCGGCGGUGUAGACGGCUUGCUAGACCACCCCUGACGCUGAGGCACGAAAGCGUGGGUAGCAAACAGG
rnacentral:rRNA from 1 species